rnacentral:rRNA from 1 species
UACGAAGGGGGCUAGCGUUGUUCGGAUUUACUGGGCGUAAAGCGCACGUAGGCGGAUUGUUAAGUCAGGGGUGAAAUCCCAGAGCUCAACUCUGGAACUGCCUUUGAUACUGGCAAUCUCGAGUCCGGAAGAGGUGAGUGGAACUCCUAGUGUAGAGGUGGAAUUCGUAGAUAUUAGGAAGAACACCAGUGGCGAAGGCGAUCACCUGGGGUUGUUCUGACGCUGAGGAGCGAAAGCUAGGGGAGCAAACGGG